AACUAGGACACUGCCAUUGAUACUGCAGAGCUUGAAUAAUAUGGAAGUAACUAGAAUAUGUAGUGUAGCGGUGAAAUGCUUAGAUAUUACAUGGAAUACCAAUUGCGAAGGCAGGUUACUACGUAUUUAUUGACGCUGAUGAACGAAAGCGUGGGGAGCGAACAGGAUUAGAUACCCUGGUAGUCCACGCCGUAAACGAUGGAUACUAGCUGUUCGGUUUUCGGACUGAGUGGCUAAGCGAAAGUGAUAAGUAUCCCACCUGGGGAGUACGUUCGCAAGAAUGAAACUCAAAGGAAUUGACGGGGGCCCGCACAAGCGGUGGAGCAUGUGGUUUAAUUCGAUGAUACGCGAGGAACCUUACCAGGGCUUAAAUGUAGAUUGACAGAUUUGGAAACAGAUUUUUCUUCGGACAAUUUACAAGGUGCUGCAUGGUUGUCGUCAGCUCGUGCCGUGAGGUGUCAGGUUAAGUCCUAUAACGAGCGCAACCCCUAUUGUUAGUUACCAGCGCGUAGUGGCGGGGACUCUAGCAAGACUGCCGGUGCAAACCGUGAGGAAGGUGGGGAUGACGUCAAAUCAUCACGGCCCUUACGUCCUGGGCUACACACGUGCUACAAUGGCAAGUACAGAAAGCAGCUACCUGGCAACAGGAUGCGAAUCUCCAAAGCUUGUCUCAGUUCGGAUUGGAGUCUGCAACUCGACUCUAUGAAGCUGGAAUCGCUAGUAAUCGGAUAUCAGCCAUGAUCCGGUGAAUACGUUCCCGGGCCUUGUACACACCGCCCGUCAAGCCAUGGAAGCUGGGGGUACCUGAAGUCGGUGACCG
rnacentral:rRNA from 1 species